UGGGGAAUAUUGCACAAUGGGCGCAAGCCUGAUGCAGCCAUGCCGCGUGUAUGAAGAAGGCCUUCGGGUUGUAAAGUACUUUCAGUCGGGAGGAAGGUGGUAAGGUUAAUAACCUUAUCAAUUGACGUUACCGACAGAAGAAGCACCGGCUAACUCCGUGCCAGCAGCCGCGGUAAUACGGAGGGUGCAAGCGUUAAUCGGAAUUACUGGGCGUAAAGCGCACGCAGGCGGUUGAUUGAGUCAGAUGUGAAAUCCCCGGGCUUAACCCGGGAAUUGCAUCUGAUACUGGUCAGCUAGGGUCUUGUAGAGGGGGGUAGAAUUCCAUGUGUAGCGGUGAAAUGCGUAGAGAUGUGGAGGAAUACCGGUGGCGAAGGCGGCCCCCUGGACAAAGACUGACGCUCAGGUGCGAAAGCGUGGGGAGCAAACAGG
rnacentral:rRNA from 1 species